UGAUGUAAGUGUCAAAAAUAUAAAUUGCGGUUGUGCUUGCAUAAAAAGCAAUUUAUAUUUAAUUGACACGCCGAACAACGAAAACGUAAUAAAAUGGUAUGAAUAUGCCAUUUUAUGAGAGUUUGAGGUGUUCGAGGAUUGUGAGAAUUGCGUAGCAAUGAAGCAAUCCGGAUACAUCA
rfam:Firmicutes bacterium CAG:227 genomic scaffold, scf291